rnacentral:rRNA from 1 species
UACGAAGGGGGCUAGCGUUGCUCGGAAUCACUGGGCGUAAAGCGCACGUAGGCGGAUUGCUAAGUCGAACGUGAAAUCCCUGGGCUCAACCCAGGAACUGCGUCCGAUACUGGCAGGCUUGAAUCCGGGAGAGGGAUGCGGAAUUCCAGGUGUAGCGGUGAAAUGCGUAGAUAUCUGGAGGAACACCGGUGGCGAAGGCGGCAUCCUGGACCGGCAUUGACGCUGAGGCGCGAAAGCCAGGGGAGCAAACGGG